rnacentral:lncRNA from 1 species
UUUCUUCUGGGCUUGGUUCAGGGAGGAGGCCAAAAGAGGAAUUUACCAGGGAAGCGAUUGAAAGACAAAAGUCCACUCUAAAGUGAAGUCUGCCUGUGAGAGGCGAACACAAGAGAUUCUCCUGAGAGUCACAGACUGGCUGGUCUGGUGUAUGCAACAGAGAAAGGGAGACCCUGUUUGAAAAAGGCUGAAGGUUUGCCGAGUUGAAUGCCAAAGAGUCUUCGAAGGACAAUUUCCAUUCAGGGAGAUCCGGUUACCCAGCUCCUAGAAAAGUAAGAAGACAUUCCUUAGGGCAGCAAUCCACACACUCUCGGCGCUAAAACAGUGGACACUGUGGAGACACAGGAUUUGUGAGUCUUUAGAAGGACUAACUUUACCCAUCCAUGCAGGAGCCCAUGGAUAAUUUUAGAUAGACAGGCAACUGAAGAAAGUCCCCCAAUGUCACUUACAAUGGGGUGAUGCACCAGGUACAAAAAAGAGCAUAAGACCAGCUAUGCAUAGAAAUCCUGGUGGAUAGUAUACUAAGAAGGAUUAUUUAAAAAGGAACAAAGGUAUAUUUUUAAGUCAGUUCUGACCUCUAAGGUAGGAGUUCAAACUAAGCCAAAUUUCAUGAACAUGUCAUCAUUGAAACCAUGAUGGCUGAACU